UGAGACAAAAUAUGUUGUUGGCCCAAAAAUCAAGCAUUUUUUUUCUAUCAUUAGAUAGAGACAGUUUCUUGGACUCUCAUUGUAGUACCCUAUUGCAUAAAGGUAGUGUUCUUUUUUGUGUCAUUUUAAAAGGGAUUACUAACAUCAACGUUGUCUCUUAGGAGAAAAUAAGAGGUUGGACAUUCCAGAAAACUUAGGUUUUGACGAUUUUGGCAGUGAAUCGUAGGAUCAUCAAGUGAUGGAACAACUCUUGUAGGACAUCAAUCUUUGUAAAUAGCUUGAUUAUGAGAGGCUUCAAGUGUUGUAGAUUGGUGUGUGCAAUGAAGAGGUUGUUUUUAUCUUAAAAUGAUUGAGUGGGUCUAAUGUGUAAUGGGGAUAUAUGUGAUGCAGCAAGACUAAUACAACAGACAUGUUAGAUGAGGCGGUGGAGUGUGUCAAGUUUCUGCAAAGACAGAUUCAGGAACUUAGGGAGCAUCAAGACAACUGCAAAUGUUAAUCAAUAUCAACAUGAAGAAAUGACUCAAGUGACGUUUAUGUUGUUUCACGUUGUGGGGAUCCCUUUGAAGACAAAAGCACAUGCAGGGCAUAUAAAACUAACCACCACCACAAACUAAUAUGGAAUGAACAACAUAUUUCAGUUCAACAGGUCAUUUGUAGCGAAAUAGUCUCAACGUGUGUAUCAAACAUGUAAAACAAAGCGACCAAAAACCUAAAAUUGGAGUUGUCUUCUAGGACGCGUUAGAUAACAGGUCAA